rnacentral:snRNA from 1 species
AGUCAAAGGCAAGGCAGUAUCGUAGCCAAUGAAGUUAAUCCGAGGCACGAUUAUUGCUAUUUGAACAGAUAAUCCAUAUCAUACACAGGUGGAGGCUUUCUUCAGUUUUUGAAGAACAGCCAGUCCAGGUUGU